UACGUAGGGUGCGAGCGUUAAUCGGAAUUACUGGGCGUAAAGCGUGCGCAGGCGGUUCGCUAAGACCGAUGUGAAAUCCCCGGGCUUAACCUGGGAACUGCAUUUGUGACUGGCAAGCUAGAGUAUGGCAGAGGGGGGUAGAAUUCCACGGUGUAGCAGUGAAAUGCGUAGAGAUGUGGAGGAAUACCGAUGGCGAAGGCAGCCCCCUGGGCCAAUACUGACGCUCAUGCACGAAAGCGUGGGGAGCAAACAGG
rnacentral:rRNA from 1 species